rnacentral:lncRNA from 1 species
UUUAUUUAAAACCCUAUUGCCUCUUCCAUCGACACCCACAAAAUCGCAUCCCUCCCGUUUCCAUCCAAAAUUACUGAACCACCUCCGACUAGCACAUCCACUUUUCUGUGAAGCUACGAUUGAAGCACUGUAACCCACCGUACAUCUUCAAGCUACGAUUGUUGUCGUUCUUUCUCUCUCUCUCUCUCUCUCUCUCUCUCUCUCUCUCUCUCUUUUACUCUUUUUCUCGUUCGAUUUGGUUUAAAUCAACAAAAGAGCAAAAAUCGUGAUUUGGUUUGUGAAUUAUCACCGGAUCGAUGCAAUAGGGAUUUAGGCUUUAAGGUAGGAAACCGAGAACCGGGCAUCAGUGGAGGCGGUGGUUGUUGGAGGAAGGGAUUUAAUUAUCGCCAUCGUCAAGAUUGGGACUCAAUUUGACUGUGUGCUUCAUCGAUUCAGUCGACCCUAUUCUCUUAGCUAUCAUCGAUUUCUCCCAGGUAAGUUCUCGAUUCCUCAAAAUCGGUAUGUUGUUCGACCCCUUAAUCUAAAUCUGCGUUUUUGAAUUUUAUUUUUUUGUCAAUUCAAUUGUUUAGGUCUCCCAGCCUGACAUAAGUUCCCACGCGUAUAUACCUCACCUGAAGGUCCAACUAUAGCGAAUAACUCCAACACCAACAAUGAAAAUCUAUUUUCUUCAUUGAUUUGUGAUAUCAAAACCUACAAUGCCGCAUAUCCUCUUCUCUCAUCGCUCCGAUAAGCACAAAACCCUAAAUCUAUUUUUCAUGCAGUUCCUUGUCACAAAUUGAACUCUGUUUUCUUGUAGCAACUAUGCUUAGAUUGAAAAAUCAUUUAUAUUUAAUAUUUAUGUUAUUGUUGUGUAUGUGAAGUUGGAUUUUGUUGAUGACCCUAGUGUUGUUCUAGAGAACAUGAAAGCGAAUCACAUUGGGAACAAGAGGUCAUUAUUUUACCAGGCUAUGCUCUUUAUUAUGAGAAAUUGAAGAAAGUUACUGAUGCUGAAGGAGUGCAAAAGUAAGUGACUGUUAUUUGUUAUUUUUCAAAAUAUUCAUUCAAUUUGAAUUGUUCAUUGAAAUUCUUAGCUUCAUAUACUUGAAGCCUAAUUGUUCUUUUUUUUAGUAAUACGUUAUAUGAUUUAUUGGUUUUUACCUUUUGCAAGCUUAAUUGAUAACUGGUAAUGAGAUAAUGGAUUUGUUUUUAGAAUCUAUACUAUAGUAUGAAUAAUGUGAGGUGAGGUAAUUAAAUAUUUGAAUUUUGUUUUACAUAAUGAUCAGGUGAAGUAAAACUUAUGAGUUAAUUCCAACAGAAUACAUACGGUAAUUGAAUCUUGAAUUCCAAUUCUAUUGGAAUGGAAUCACGAAUUCCAAUUCUGUUGGAAUGGAAUAUGAAUAUUUUUUCACUGGUUUAUACAUGUUCUAUAAUUCUUGCUUAUUGGUUUUGGUGCAAUUCACAAGUCCGUAUAUUUUUCCAAAGGAAUUUAGUUUUUUAUUUUUCAUUUGCUAAUGCAUUAUUGGAUUCUAAACUACAAUUUGGUUUUGUUUUCACAGAAGUUGAUGCUUGAAGAACAGACCACAAAAUUGAAAGUGAUUCUAAGCAACAUUAUUCUUUUAGAAUGUAUUAGUGUCUUUGUUAGAUUUUGAUGUUUUCUUUCCCGAUUUGAAAUUUUUUUUAGUUUUAUUCUUUAACAAUAAAUGUAAUUCUUAGUAAUUAUUACCUGUAUUCUAUAGAAAUUAAUGUAAUUUUUGUUAUUAU